rnacentral:rRNA from 1 species
AUUGAACGCUGGCGGAAUGCUUUACACAUGCAAGUCGAACGGCAGCACGGGGGCAGCCCUGGUGGCGAGUGGCGAACGGGUGAGUAAUACAUCGGAACGUGCCCGGUCGUGGGGGAUAACGUAGCGAAAGUUACGCUAAUACCGCAUACGAUCUGAGGAUGAAAGCGGGGGACCUUCGGGCCUCGCGCGAUCGGAGCGGCCGAUGUCAGAUUAGGUAGUUGGUGGGGUAAAGGCCUACCAAGCCGACGAUCUGUAGCUGGUCUGAGAGGACGACCAGCCACACUGGGACUGAGACACCGCCCAGACUCCUACGGGAGGCAGCAGUGGGGAAUUUUGGACAAUGGGCGCAAGCCUGAUCCAGCCAUUCCGCGUGCAGGACGAAGGCCUUCGGGUUGUAAACUGCUUUUGUACGGAACGAAAAGGCUCUGGCUAAUACCUGGGGCUCAUGACGGUACCGUAAGAAUAAGCACCGGCUAACUACGUG